UACAACGAAACUGCGAAUGGCUCGGUAAAACAGCAAUAAUUUAUUCGGGGGUAAUUGCUACUUGGAUAACCGUAGUAAAGCUAGAGCUAAUACAUGCCAUAAAGACGAGACUUGUUCUCGUGGUACUAAGUAUUAGGUACAAGCCAAUUUUUUUUGGUGAUUCAUACUUAUUUUCUGAUCGCACCCUGUGCGACACCCCGAAUAAAUUUCUGACCUAUCAACUAUGAUGGUAAGGUAGUGUCUUACCAUGGUUGUGACGGGUAACGGACCGUGGGUGCGGGAUUCCGGAGAGGGAGCCUGAGAAACGGCUACCACAUCCAAGGAAGGCAGCAGGCGCGCAACUUACCCAAUCCGAAUUUCGGGAGGUAGUGACAAAAAAUAUCAAUAGGGGGACCAAUGGUCUUCCUAAUUGGAAUGAAAACAAUCUAAACACCUUAUUGAGGAACCAGCAGAGGGCAAGUCUGGUGCCAGCAGCCGCGGUAAUUCCAGCUCUGUAAGCGUAUACCAAAGUUGUUGCAGUUAAAACGCUCGUAGUCGGAUUUUGGCGUGAGAUACUGAUGCUCCUACUGGAUGUUGACGUAGCUCCGCCUUUGUGGAGGGGGGUGCGGUGGUACUUUAUUGUAUUUCUGCAUUUCCGCCACUUUUUACUGUGAAAAAAUUAGAGUGUUCAAAGCGAGCGUUUGCCAUGAAUACAUUAGCAUGGAAUAAUAGAAUAGGACCUGAUCCUGUUUUAUUGGUUUGUCUGUAUCAGGUAAUGAUUAACAGGGACGGUCGGGGGCACUUGUAUUCCAGGGUUAGAGGUGAAAUUCUUAGAUCCUUGGAAGACAAACAGCUGCGAAAGCGUCUGCCAAGGACGUUUUCAUUGAUCAAGAACGAAAGUAUGGGGAUCGAAGACGAUCAGAUACCGUCGUAGUCUGUACUAUAAACUAUGAGGACUGGGGAUCGGACGUGGCCUAUUGGUACGUUCGGCACCCUCCGGGAAACCAAAGUGUUUGCUUUCUGGGGGGAGUAUGGUCGCAAGUCUGAAACUUAAAGGAAUUGACGGAAGGGCAUCACCGGGUGUGGAGCCUGCGGCUUAAUUUGACUCAACACGGGAAAACUUACCAGGUCCAGACAUAGUAAGGAUUGACAGAUUGAGAGCUCUUUCUUGAUUCUAUGGUUGGUG
rnacentral:rRNA from 1 species